rnacentral:rRNA from 1 species
GACGAACGCUGGCGGCGUGCUUAACACAUGCAAGUGGAGCGACGAACCGGGGCUUGCCCCGGGGCAAAGCCGCGAACGGGUGAGUAACACGUGGGUAACCCACCUCGAUGACCGGGACAACCCGAGGAAACUCGGGCUAAUACCGGAUGUGCUCUUCUCUCGCAAGGGAGUUGAGGAAAGAUAGCUUCGGCCUUCGCAUCGAGACGGGCCCGCGGCCCAUUAGCUUGUUGGUGGGGUAACGGCCUACCAAGGCUUCGAUGGGUAGCUGGUCUGAGAGGACGAUCAGCCACACUGGGACUGAGACACGGCCCAGACUCCUACGGGAGGCAGCAGUGGGGAAUCUUGCACAAUGCGCGAAAGCGUGAUGCAGCAACGCCGCGUGGGGGAAGAAGGCCUUCGGGUUGUAAACCCCUUUCAGUUGGGACGAAGCUCCGCCGGUGAAUAGCCGGCUGGAGUGACGGUACCUUCAGAAGAAGCCCCGGCUAACUACGUGCCAGCCGCCGCCGUAACAC